GAAGGCUAGUUGGGGAAAGAGCACUAAGAAAAAACCUCAAAGAGUAAAGAAAAGCUCUUCAGACAGUGGCCCGGGAGAGAUCCUGGAACCUAGAAUAGAAGGUUCCCCUACUGGUGCUAAGGAAUGGGGCAUACAAAGCCUAAUGCAAGGGUUAUUGAACCCAGCAGGAUGUUGCCUGCUAAGCCUGGAAUACAGGCUGAGAAAUAGCCUCAGUGAAGGCAGAUGGGUUUUAUUGUGUUAAUGAUACUUUUUUGGAGAUUUAAGUUUGGAUAAUUGUCCUCCCGGAAAGGGUGGACUUAAGUUGGUGAGCUGGCUGCAAGGAUGAGUCACUGGAAGAAAAGCAUCACAGUGCUGGAGAGACUGUUGGCUAGGGGUGCUGCAAAAACAAGAGCUGCUACACUAAACAUGGCUAUAAGGGGUUGUCUACCAAGAGGAGCCUAGAAAGUGGAGACUGUAAGAUAAAGGAAGCCUGAGCUGCAGACAAAUAGGAGGGGAGUGGUACUUCAAAUACUUCUACAACCUACUGAAAAAAGGUGACCAGGAUGCUAGGAGUCUGCAUGUGCAUUGUGCUCAGACAGCAAUAGCCAUGAUGGCUUGAGGACAGUUUUGGUUGUUUUUGAAACUUGGCUUGCUGAAGCUUGAGGAUGGAGCACGGGAUUUGCUCUUGUUGUCUGUGUGAACUUGGUCAAUCUCUUUGCCAAACAGAUUCAUUUGAUUUGUCUUUUUAAAUGACCUUUUGACUUGCAAUCAUCUGCAUUCUGGUCAUGCUUUAUUUCAUUUUAUUUUUACUGUAGAGCUUUGGAAUGUUUGUCAUGAAAAGAGCUACAUAAAUAUUAAUGUAUUGAUAGUAUUAUUAUGGCUUUUCAAGCCUAUUUUUCAUUUUAUGGGUUUUAAGAGCGACAAAAUUUACUGACUGUACCGAAAUAUAGGUAUAAUGGACUUUCUGA